UACGAGGGGGGCGAGCGUUGUUCGGAAUUAUUGGGCGUAAAGGGCGCGUAGGCGGCCUGGCAAGUGGAAGGUGAAAUCCCUCGGCUUAACCGAGGAACUGCCCUCCAAACUGCUUGGCUUGAGUCCGGGAGAGGUGAGUGGAAUUCCCAGUGUAGCGGUGAAAUGCGUAGAUAUUGGGAGGAACACCAGUGGCGAAGGCGGCUCACUGGACCGGAACUGACGCUGAGGCGCGAAAGCGUGGGGAGCAAACGGG
rnacentral:rRNA from 1 species